rnacentral:lncRNA from 1 species
UGGAGAGAUCUCGCAGCCCAAGUCGUACCGCCCAUGACGGAAAGGGAGAUGAUCACAAUUAUGGUAGAUACGUUACCCACGUUCUACUAUGAAAAGCUGAUAGGCUACAUGCCAGCUAACUUUGCGGAUCUCAUCUUCGCCGGAGAAAGGAUUGAAUCCGGGCUACGAAAAGGCAAGUUUGAAUAUGCUGCCAAUAUGGCCCCCAACAACAACAGAAGAGCCCCAGCACUGGGCGCAAGGAAAAAGGAAGGAGACGCCCACGCGGUCACCACCGCCCCAACAUGGAUGAAAGCACCCCAAAAUAUCCAAAGCUCAUACCAGCCCAAUCCCCCAAAUUUUUUUAUCCGAGCCGGGAAUUCCCUCCCGACUCAAGUAAAAGGACCACCCGCGGCAGAAAGAGCGCCGGCCCAACGCACAGCUCCAGCCGCGCCCCGGCCAGUUAAUAAUGCAGCCCCCGGCGCGACCUAUAAGUAUGCACAGCACCCGAAAGACAACUUCCCUCCUAUUCCCAUGGCAUACUCCGAGUUAUGGCCUUCACUAUUGGAUAAUCACUUGGUGGUGGCCAUACCCGGGAAAGUUCUCCAGCCACCCUACCCCAAGUGGUAUGAUCCGGGUGCCAAGUGUGUGUAUCACAGUGGAGUUCCCGGACACAAUAUUGACUCCUGCAUCCCGUUCAAGUAUAAGGUGCAGCAUCUGAUUAGUGCCGGCUGGCUGGCGUUUCAGGAAGAAGGCCUAAAUGUUAAAACCAACCCACUAGCUAGUCAUGGAGGUGCUAGCAUGAACGCCGUCGAAGAGGACGGGCCACCACGGACAAGGAGGUUAGGAGAUGUGACUACUUCUAGACGUUUCAUCUAUCAAUCGCUGCAAGCGGCGUGCAUGGUCCCCCGAGGUGGAGAUGAAAGGGAUGAAUGUUUGUUUCACCUUGGGGAGUCGCAUGACAUGGAAACCUAUCCCGUGGUGAAAGAAUUGCUUCAGCGGCUCAUGGAUUGCGGGCAACUUGAAGUGUUCAUAGGAGGGAAGGAAGAACCACAAAUUUGCAUGCAGUCGGAAGAGAAGAAGGUUCCUUUAACCCCCAAGGCCCUAGUGAUAUGUUUUACUAGGAAAGGGACCGGCUCCAUACCCAUAUACCCCCGGACGGCAUCCAAGGCAACGCCAUUUGCAUAUCAAAGUAAUAAGGCCGUUCCGUGGAAGUAUACCCCUCCCGUAUCCAGCGAAAGAGUUGCAACCGACGUUGACUCCCUAUCAGCUAAGGUAACCAACAUCACCGGCCUCAGUGGCGUAACCCGCAGUGGUCGGGUGUUCGCUUCCCCUCACCCAGCGGAUUUGCCCUCUAAAGGGAAGGCGCCCAUGGUCCAAGAGCCCACAGACAUAGCCACCCCCUCGAAGGAAGGAGAUCCUCCCAUGGCAAAAGGAGCCAAAAGGAAAGAGGGACUUCAAGGAAAAAACGUGACUUUGGAAGAGGCCCAUGAGUUCCUCCGCCUCAUCCAACAAAGCGAGUUUAAGGUAGUCGAGCAGCUGAAUAAAACUCCAGCUAGGAUCUCUUUGCUUGAACUACUCAUAAACUCCGAGCCUCAUCGUGCGCUGUUGAUGAAGGUUCUUAACGAUGCCCAUGUAGCACAUAAUAUCUCAGUGGAGGGUUUCGAAGGCAUCGUUAAUCAUAUAACCACCAACAACUACAUCGCGUUUGCGGAAGAAGAGAUUCCCGUCGAGGGGAGAGGGAACAACAAGGCUCUACAUGUGUCGGUGAGAUGUAUGGAUCACGUUGUCGCAAAGGUACUUAUCGACAAUGGAUCAAGUUUAAAUGUGAUGCCGAAGACCACUUUGGAAAAGCUUCCUUUUAGUGCGUUACAUUUAAAGCCGAGCUCGAUGGUGGUGCGAGCCUUUGAUGGUACUCGGCGGGAAGUAAUGGGGGAAAUCGACAUUCCCAUUCAGAUAGGCCCCCACACUUGCAAUGUGGUGUUUCAAGUAAUGGAUAUAAAUCCUGCCUAUAGCUGCCUCUUGGGAAGACCAUGGAUUCAUGCCCUGGGAGUGGUCCCUUCAACGCUUCACCAGAAAUUGAAGUUUGCAGUGGGUGGACUUUUAGUGAUAGUGUCGGGUGAAGAGGACAUGUUAGUGAGCUGCCCUUCCUCUGCACCAUACGUAGAAGUGGCGGAAGAAUCGUUGGAAACGACUUUCCAAUCCUUUGAGGUGGUGAGCUGCGCCUCUGUGGAACCAAGUCCGUCGCUACCUUCUCUCUCCAACGCGGCCAUAAUGGUGGCGCGUGUUAUGCUCAGGAACGGAUUUAAGCCCGGAAUGGGUUUAGGCAAGGACUGCCUCGGGAAUGCUGACGUGGUCGAUAUCAAAGGAAAUCUAUACAAGUAUGGAUUAGGGUACGAACCCGGGAUGCCGGGGAGGAGGAACGUGCCAUCAAGGUUUCGGGCGGAUAGGGUAUGGCCCGGCCGUAUUAGCCAGUGUUUCACCAGCGCUGGAAUGGUGUCCGAGGAGGAGGUGGCCGCAAUAGAAGAGGAGUUCCCUCAAGACCCACCAAGUUUUGUGCAACCGUGCCACCCCAAUUCCCAAGUGGGGAACUGGCGCGUGAUAAGCAAGUCAGAAGUCUAUACCACUGAUUCAAUGUAAUUAGAGCCUAUAGAUUUCCUUUCUCUUUUGUUUUGUGAAACCUACCUUAUUAAAUAAACAAAGAGAUCUUGUUUCAUUUGUUCUUGCAGUACCACCCUUUCUCAUAUCAUUUUGCAUGUUUUUGUUUCUUUUGCCUUGUUUGGUAUCGAUAUGAGGGUCGAUUCAUUGAGGAUCCUAACAACGAGGGUUUGACGAUCAAUUUCGAUCAAGAUAUAAGCCAAACGAUAAACGAGGAAGAGGAAGAGGACGUCCUGUCACCAGAGUUGGAGAGGUUGGUCGCUCAGGAAGAACGUGAGAUGAAGCCUCACCAAGAAGAAACCGAAUUGGUAAACUUGGGGACCCCGGAGGAAAAUAAAGAGGUAAAGGUAGGAACCGGUAUGACCGCGCCUAUCCGCCAAGGUUUGAUAAUCCUUCUUGAAGAGUAUCAAGAUGUCUUUGCGUGGUCGUAUCAAGACAUGCCCGGUCUGGAUUCCGACAUUGUGCAGCAUAAGUUGCCGUUGAAUCCUGGAUCUUCCCCGGUUAAGCAAAAGUUACGAAGAAUGAAACCCGAGAUGUCCUUAAAAAUUAAAGAAGAAGUAAGGAAGCAGUUUGAUGCAGGUUUCUUAGCUGUGGCGCGGUACCCAGAGUGGGUGGCCAACAUUGUCCCAGUCCCGAAAAAGGACGGCAAGGUUCGAAUGUGUGUAGACUACCGGGACUUGAACCGGGCCAGUCCAAAGGACAAUUUUCCUCUGCCACACAUUGACAUAUUGGUAGAUAAUACAGCCAAAUUUGCCCUUUUCUCAUUUAUGGAUGGUUUCUCGGGGUAUAAUCAAAUAAAGAUGGCGCCCGAAGAUGUAGAGAAGACCACUUUCGUCACCCUUUGGGGGACAUUCUGCUAUAAAGUGAUGGCCUUCGGGUUGAAAAACGCUGGGGCAACCUAUCAACCUGCCAUGGUGGCGUUGUUCCAUGACAUGAUGCAUAAGGAAAUAGAGGUCUACGUAGAUGACAUGAUUGCCAAGUCUCGGACUGAGGACGAACACCUUGUCAAUCUGCGUAAGCUGUUUGGAAGAUUGCGGAAAUACCAAUUAAAACUGAACCCAACCAAGUGCACCUUUGGGGUGAAGUCAGGGAAGCUGCUAGGAUUUAUCGUAAGUCAGAAAGGGAUAGAGAUAGAUCUCAAGAAAGUGAAGGCUAUCCUUGAAAUGCCAGAACCACGCACGGAGAAGCAGGUUUGGGGAUUUUUGGGCAGGUUGAAUUAUAUUGCGAGAUUUAUCUCGCAACUCACCCCUACCUGUGAACCCAUUUUUAAGUUGUUACGUAAGAAUCAAGCGGUCCUAUGGAACAGUGACUGCCAAGAGGCUUUCGAGAAGAUCAAACAGAGUCUCGCGAAUCCCCCGGUACUCAUGCCACCUGUAACGGGAAGACCCUUUUUCCUGUACAUGACCAUGUUGGACGAGUCUAUGGGGUGCGUGUUGGGUCAGCAUGAUGAUUCUGGAAAAAAGGAGCAAGCCAUCUACUAUCUAAGCAAGAAGUUUACCGCAUGUGAGAUGAACUACUCAAUGUUGGAAAGGACGUGUUGUGCUCUGGUAUGGGCAUCACAUCGGCUUAGGCAGUACAUGCUCAGCCAUACCACGUGGCUUAUUUCCAAAAUGGAUCCCGUAAAAUACAUCUUUGAAAAACCGGCCCUCACGGGACGAAUCGCCAGGUGGCAGGUACUAUUGUCUGAAUUUGAUAUCGUUUACGUCACCCACAAGGCGGUAAAGGGAAGCGCCUUGGCGGAUUAUUUGGCCCAGCAACCCCUUCAGGAUUAUCGGCCGAUGCACCCCGAGUUCCCAGAUGAAGAUAUCAUGGCCCUGUUUGAAGAGAAGCGGACUGAUGAGGACCUAGACAAAUGGAUUGUUUGCUUCGAUGGGGCAUCAAAUGCUUUGGGCCACGGAGUAGGGGCGGUCCUUGUAUCCUCGGAUGAUCAGUGUAUCCCUUUCACGGCUAGGCUAGGUUUUGAUUGUACCAACAAUAUGGAUGAGUACGAAGUGUGCGCUCUCGGGGUUCAGGCGGCCAUUGAUUUUGAUGUAAAACUACUCAAGGUGUAUGGAGACUCAGCUUUGGUGAUACGCCAGUUGAAAGGAGAAUGGGAAACUAGGGAUUCGAAGUUGAUACCCUAUCAAACUCACAUCUUGAGGUUAGCCAAGUACUUUGACGACAUUUCCUUUCACCACAUACCUCGGGAAGAGAAUCAAAUGGCGGAUGCACUAGCCACCCUGGCAUCCAUGUUUCAACUUGCCCCACACGAGGAUCUGCCAUACAUCGAAUUCAAAUCUCAAGGCAGGCCGGCAUAUUGUUAUGCAAUAGAGGAAGAGCGGGAUGGGAAACCGUGGUAUUUCGACAUCAAGCAGUAUGUCGAGAACAAGGAAUACCCACCAGGGAUUUCUGACAAUGACAAAAGGAUGUUGAGGAGAUUGGCUACUGGUUUCUUUGUAAGUGGUACUAUCCUGUACAAACGAAACCACGACAUGACCCUCCUACGAUGCGUAGAUGCCAAGGAGGCGAACUUCAUGAUCGAGGAGAUUCACGAGGGUUCCUUUGGGACACAUGCCAAUGGGCAUGCCAUGGCCAGAAAAAUCCUUAGGGCUGGUUAUUACUGGCUCACCAUGGAAAGUGAUUGCUGCGCUCAUGUAAGGAAGUAUCAUAAAUGUCAGGCAUACGCGGACAACAUUAAUGUUCCGCCACAUCCUCUGAAUGUUAUGUCCGCCCCUUGGCCUUUUUCCAUGUGGGGAAUAGAUGUCAUUGGGGCCAUCGAACCCAAAGCGUCGAAUGGUCACCGAUUCAUUCUUGUGGCGAUAGAUUACUUCACCAAAUGGGUCGAAGCAGCUUCUUAUACUAACGUCACAAGGAAUGUGGUAGUUAGAUUCAUAAAGAAGGAGUUGAUUUGUCAAUACGGGCUCCUCAGGAAGAUCAUUACUGACAAUGGCACCAAUCUGAACAAUAAGAUGAUGCAGGAGAUGUGCGAAGACUUUAAGAUCCAGCAUCAUAACUCUACCCCUUAUCGGCCAAAGAUGAAUGGGGCUGUAGAGGCUGCGAAUAAGAAUAUUAAGAAGAUUGUUCAAAAGAUGACGGUGUCAUAUAAGGAUUGGCAUGAGAUGUUGCCUUUCGCCCUACACAGAUAUAGAACCUCGGUACGAACUUCUACUGGGGCAACGCCGUAUUCUUUGGUUUAUGGGAUGGAGGCAGUACUCCCAUUUGAGGUAGAAGUUCCUUCUCAGAGGAUAAUGGCGGAGUCAGGCCUAGAAGAGUCAGAAUGGGCUCAAGAACGCUACGACCAACUUAACCUAAUUGAAGGUAAGCGUUUGGCCGCCAUGAGCCAUGGGCGUUUGUAUCAACGAAGGAUAAAGAACGCGUUCGACAAGAAGGUACGCCCGCGCAAGUUCAACGAGGGGGACCUCGUGCUGAAGAAGAUGUCCCACGCUGUUAAAGAUAAUCGAGGCAAGUGGGCCCCGAAUUAUGAAGGACCUUUUGUUGUGAAAAGAGAUUUUUCUGGGGGUGCUCUGAUACUCACCCACAUGGAUGGCGAGGAAUUGCCUUCGCCCGUGAACUCCGAUGUAGUUAAACAAUAUUACGCUUAAAGUCUGCGGCAAUCGAGAGGACCGUCGCACGUUUUUAUUUCUGAGUAUUUCUCGUUCCUUUUGGUUUCCUCUAGGGAUUCCCAUUCACUUUAUUUGUCUCGUUUCUUUGAAAAGAAAAGAUGGGCGGGGUUUUAGUCCCCCCCUUUGAUGUUUCAAACUUUGUGUUUUAGAUUUUUUAUAAGCACGAGCCCUCUUCGCUCAGUGUAUGGGGUGCCCCAAAUGUUUAUUUUAAAAUUGAACCUAACCAGCCUUCACUAAAAUAAAAUCAUCGCAUUAGCAACAUUCAUACAUGCACAUGCACAUGCAUAUCUUGUAAUAGCAAAGAGUAGAAUCGUCUCAGGCCACGGUCCGAAGUCAAGACAAAUCAAUGGCAGAAAUCAACCAAGGUAAGACGAUGACUGGUCACGAUUGGCCGCAUAUUUUUGUUUCCUAUUUGCAGGUACAUAGGAACGGAUGCAAGUGGGGAUGGGGUCAUGACCGACUAAUCGUUGCCCUUUCCCAGCGCUAAACGAGCAGAGAACGUCGCUGCAAGGCAGCCCAGUAUCCUUUGUGUUUGCAGUUUCUUUUACUAUUUGUUUGUUUUAAAUAAGUAAUCGACGCCUAAUUCUAACUUAAGUAGGUUCAAUUUAGGCAAACGCUAGCCCGUAAGGGAGGAGGGGACAUGGUUAAUGUUCCCCUCAAAAAAAAAAAAAAGUAGCAGGUUAGCUCGCCUGGGCGAGCAACCCCUGCACUCAAAAUAUAAAAAACGAAGGAGGGGCACGUUUUUGUAUCCAAAAACUCCCCCCCCCCCCCUUCAUUCAAGAAAGAAAGAACACGAAGGCUUGCGGUUUCUUGCUCCCCUAAGCCUUUUGAUCGCGUUUUGCUUUCAUUUUUGGUAUUUCAAUUCACUCCAACAAGUAAGUAUUCCAUCCUUGGUGUUUUUGCUUUCCAUUGAUGUGCUUUCUUCAUCUUUUGGUGCCUUAAAUUGGGAGAACAUGCUUAUAUUUGUGAGGCAGUUUUUGGUUUGCUUGGGUGCUUGUUUUCUUGAAUUGAGGAUUUGGAUGAAAAGGCCUUAGGCCUAGGUUGUAUUCUAAAGCAAUGGGGCAUGCCACAUUGCUCCCUUUCUCUUGCAAUUUAUGUCCAAACAUGCGCCCACCAAGUGCUCGGUGAAAUGCCCCAAUGAUGAAUGAAUAUGAUUUUGCAAAAUUGGGGUGAUGGGGCUCUUUUCUAUAUGUAGAGACAGCAUAGGAAAGUCAAAAUAGAUGCCCAAAUGCAAUCCCAAGCUUAGGAGCCUAAACUUGUAGCUUCCAUGCAAGGAAACAUGUUUAUAGCUAGGAAUCCAAAAUUUGGUUUUAGGAUUAGAAAAGCAUGAAAAUAGGGACUUGUUUGUAAGAAUUUGGGCUGCCCCACGAUUGGCAUUUUGCACCUAAGUAACAUGGGAGAUGUUUUUCAAGGGUGUGUAGAUAUAUGUGUGAAUAUAUGGCAUAAAAAUACCUUGCAAAGUGAAUGAAUAAUAAAUAAUGCAUUUCAAAAUAUGUAUAUUUGUGGAUAAGUAGCAUAAGAAGUCUUUCAAAAAUGUACCCAUGCCAAAGAUGGCACGAGAAUGCUUCCCAAAUGAAUAUAUGAUGUGGAAUUGCCCCUCAAGUGUAGAUUAGAUGGCAUGAAAGUCCCUUUUGAGUGCAAAAGUGUGUGCAUAAUGUAAUUAGCUUUCCGACAUGCAUAUAAAUGAAAUGAGUGAAACAACAAAAUUUGUAUGUUGAUAAAAUACUUCAAAUAUGUGCGGGUAGUUUGUGGUAGUAAAAUAGUUAUGAUAGGAACAUAUGUAAUUUUGGCACAAUACCUUGAGCAUGCGUGUAAGUAUUUUUUCCGAAAAAAAAUAUAUAUGUGUGUGGUAACUAGAAUGUUUUGAAUAUCCUUGUAUGUUGAUGUAAAUAAUAGGGUAUUUUCUACACAUGUGUGUGUGCAUGAAUGGAUCAUAUGAGUUUAGUCUAAAUUAGAGGGAUUGGCAUGACAUUUUUUGCGUUAAGAUAAGCAUUAUCUUGUAAAACUAAAUUUUGAAUGUUUGUUCUCGUUUGAUGCAGAUGCUAUCGGCCAGCUCCUGAGAUAUCCUUUAGUGCUGGAAGAGGGCCAGGAGUGCGAGUAUGGCCAGAGGAGGAACCGGUCCGAUGGGUUCGAUGAGGAGGCCAUCGCCCAGUUGCUAUGUAUACCGGGGCAAGAUUUUGCCCGGACUACUGCCGGGAGACGGGUGCGGAUCAUGCGCACCAACAUGACCACCCUGACUCAGAUAUGGAUGACCUUGCUGCUCAGCAACAUCCUGCCCACCGAUCAUAAUUCCGAUCUCCCCCUGCCGAAGUGUCAGCUGGUGUACGCCAUCCUGACGCGGAUGAGUAUCCAUGUGGCUCAGUUAAUCGCUGAUGCCAUCUAUAUUUUUGCAGGUAUGGCGCCUACCAGGCACCCUCUAGACCCAGAUAAGUCCAACAGGGCCUUGGGAUUUCCCGCCUUGAUCACGGGACUCUGCCAGUCGUUCGGCGUCCCUGUCACACCCACCAAGGUGAUUCAGCCGCCCAUCACCUGAGCUUUUAUUAAGAAGUACUGCACGCAGAGACAGGUCCAGGGUGAUGCACCACAGGUCACGGACGCGCCGCCACCUCAUCAGGCUGGCCCAGCCGGAUUGUUUGAUACAGAGCAGUAUUUGCAGAAUUUGGUUCGCCAGCAGGCGGCCAACCACCGGGCACAUGUCCAGACUCAUGAUUGUCUUUAUCCGAUGAGUCUCAGCCUCCAGAGUCAGGGCUUUACUUCUUUUCCGUGCCCUACUCCGGACCAGUUCAGGGCAGAGGUGGCAUGGCCUGGAGAUUGGCCUGAGGCCCAGGCAGGAGAGGCACCAGCAGGGGCACCAGCAGAGGCUCCCGACGAGGCAGAUGAGGCCCGCGAGGACGAAGAGAUGACCGAUUUACUUGAUUUCUUAGGAGGGAGCGGGGUCACAUGAUUGGGAGAUCUCUUGAUCCAUAUUUCUUUUUCCAUUUGUUUUUUCUGUUACAUAUCAUCUUAUUUUGUGUUUGACUAAGGGACUAACGUUUGUUUCAUGUUUUGACUUUUGUUUUGUACAUACAUAUCAUUUGAGUUGUUACGUCGGUACUUGUUUCGUUGUUGUCAUUAGUGUUUGUUGAAAUCCCGGAACCGUGUAGAGUUUUUUUUAUUUAGGAACGUCGUUCUAAAAAAUAAAAUGAACCAAAAAUCCUAAUAAAAAGAAAGAAAGAAGCGUUGUGAAUAAAAGUCAUGUUCAUAAAGAAAAGAAAAAGGUUUUUAUUUAUAUAUAUGUAGAAAAAAAUGUGUAUAGAAGGAUUCUUGUAUGUAAAUGAUGCGUGGAAAAGAAUUCUUGUGUGUGCGAGCAACGAGUGUAUAUGAAGAAACUUUUGUGUGUAUAAGUGUGUGUUGGGAAAAAUGAAAAAAUCUUUGAAUGUAAAUAGGGAUUGUAUAUAGACCGUGUGACGUAAAAAGAAGAGUUCUAAUGUGUGUACAGAGGCAGUUUGUCAUAUAGAUGUACAAAGAAAAGUUUUCCUCAUAAAGAACCACAAGUGUAUAGUUUUAGUGAACAUGUAUAAAAAUAAAACAAAAAAAGGUAAAAAGAAAGAAAGACCGCGAAGGUCGACAUGUUAUAAUUGAGAAGUAUAAAUCAUUCGUAAAGAGCAAACGUAUCUUCUGGAAACAAGGGACUGAUGCUAAGAGUUUAUUUUUCGGAAUAAACCGAGAUAAGAAUGGAUGAAUUCAUUGAACUGAUGGGAGAACAUAAUUUGGAAACAUUGGGUCUGUUUGUGUAAAUUCCCAACCGUAGUAUCACAAUGCCAUAAAAGGGAUGCUUGAGGGCCCACCUAGCUGUAGCCAUGACUAAUUUUGCACGUUAUUUUCAAAUCAUCAUCAUCACGCGUGCCUUAUGGAAUAAUGCGGAAGUUCGGGCCACGAGCGACCCCUUGACACCCAAAUUUGCCUCGCCCCAGAUAUCAAGAUUGGGGUUCCCACGAUAAAAGACCCCAUUAAAACACAACCUUGGACUUUUUUUAACCUUGGCCUAUCAAAAGAAUCCUCCUCCUUUCCCCGAAGCAAAGGACAGUGAAAUCUUCUCAAGGGAGAGCGAAUGGAAUGCUAAAACCCAAUUUCCCAAAGAAAGGGAUGGGGAAGGAAAAGUGAAGAGAAAGAGAAGGAAGAAAUGGAAAGGAAGAGAAGAAAAAGAUGAAAAUAAAGAAAAGAACAAAAGAAAGAAAAGGAAGGAUUCCCGAUCAAAGAUCGAAAGGAAGCGAAAAGGGAAAAAAAGCAAUUCUCGAUCAAUGAAAGAAAGAGGAUAGAAAGUCCCCAAAGCCAGAUUGCCACUCAGAAUCAUUCUUGAUUGGCAAUAUCCCAUCCCACAUGAACAAAGAGGAAAAGACCGAAACACCCAGCUUCCUCUCCAAAAACGCUGACCUCGAGAAAAUCCUAUUGGUCCGUGAUCGUACGUUUGAUCUAUGAUUCGAUAGGAAGUCACGUGCAAAAUAGAGUCAUGGUGCAGUUAUUGGUUUGGGAAUAGGAUAAGACACUUGCCUUGUGAGUUUUAUACACCAUGAGUGAUUUAUUUUCAGCUUAGCCCCAUGUUUCCCCUGCGUGUUCAUUUGAAAGCUAGAAGUUGACGUCCUACCCUUCAUUCUCGGUUGCAAGGAAGAUUACCCUUGGCACAAGUAUAUUGUUUCUCUAAGAUGUGGUGCUCUCGCGAGUGAUUUAUUUUUCUUUGCAAAAAGCAUGUUAUCCUUUUAGGUGGAAAAACCCGGUGGACCGUUCGGUCCCACCAACAUCCUUUUCCAGAGCCACAUGAAUGUUAUUGCGUUGGGCUGUUCAUGUGUCCUCCACUUUUGAGUUUGGAGCUGUGUUUCAUGAUUGCCUAAGAGAGGACCCUCAAGGCAAUCCUCCACUUUCAUCCUUUUCUGGAGCCGCAUGAAUGAAUUGCGUUGUCAUUCAUGUGUCCUCCACUGUCGAGUUUGGAGCUGUGUUCCAUGAUUGCCUAAGAGAGGACCCUCAAGGCAAUCAUCCAUUCUCGUCCUUUUUCGGAGCCACAUGGGUGAAUUGCGUUGUCAUUCACGUGUCCUCCAAUUUUGAGUUUGGAGCUGUGUUCCAUGAUUGCCUAAGAGAGGACCCUCAAGGCAAUCCUCCAUUCUCAUCCUUUUCCAGAGCCGCAUGAAUGAAUUGCGUUGUCAUUCAUGUGUCCUCCAUUUUCGAGUCUGGAGUUGUGUUCCAUGAUUGCCUAAGAGAGGACCCUCAAGGCAAUCCUCCAUUCUCAUCCUUUUCCGGAGCCACAUGGGUGAAUUGCGUUGUCAUUCAUGUGUCCUCCAUUUUCGAGUCUGGAGUUGUGUUUCAUGAUUGCCUAAGAGAGGACCCUCAAGGCAAUCCUCCAUUCUCGUCCUUUUCCGGAGCCACAUGAAUGUUAUUGCUUAGGGCUGUUCAUGUGUCCUCCACUUUUGAGUUUGGAGCUGUGUUCCAUGAUUGCCUAAGAGAGGACCCUCAAGGCAAUCCUUCAUUCUCAUCCUUUUCCGAAGCCGCAUGAAUGUUCUUGCUUAUGGCUGUUCAUGUGUCCUCCACUUUCGAGUUUGGAGCUGUGUUCCAUGAUUGCCUAAGAGAGGACCAUCAAGGCAAUCCUCCAUACUCCACCUUUGUUCAGAGCACCAUGAAUGUCAUUGCCUAGCGCUGUUCAUGUGUUCUCCAUUAUCAAGUGCGAAGCUUCUGGUGACUGGGAAGCACGUUAUUCUGUUGUUUUCCAGAUCGGUUCCUUCGCCAAGUAUGUGUAUAUGUGUAUAUCUGUAUUAUAUUCGUUGUUCUGGUUGUUGUUUGUAUUUUGUUUUGUGCAGAAGAAAAAAAAGAAGAAGUAGAGAUGAGAGUCGUCAUCGCGAAAAGGGCAGGACGGACGAAAUCAGUGUCCUAUCUUUGCUUUCCUCUUAUCUCCGAUGAGAGGUAAGUAAAGAGGGGCAACUGUCAUACCCUAAUUUCGUCCGGGGAUUAUUACUUGAUGACAUGCAAUCUUUGGUUAGCCGCUUUGAGAUACUUGGCGUCCUUUGUUGCACAAUAAAUGAAGUCCCGAGACGUCUCAGAAAUCUAAAGGAAGCAGGCUUGCGCGAUCCGUGAAAUUCCGUAAUGUGGCGGAAGUCGAAAAGAGAUGUUUUUGCGCAAUCCGUAAGUUUCCGUAACUUCUUCGAAAACUAAAAAAGAGUAAAUAUGUAAUUCGUAAGGGUUCGUAACCUUGCGGAAGAAAAAAUAAGUAUCGUUACGAAAAAAAAUAGAAAAGCGGGGUGCAUUUAGUAAAUAGGGGGUGUAAAUAGCAACCUGGCCCACUUGGGCCCUCCAGAAGGCUGUUGCUUCUGGAGGAAGCAACCCUGCUCGCCUGGGCGAGUUGGGCGGCAAGUUUCUCCCCUAUUUUGCUAUAAAUAGGGGGAGAAGUGAAGAAGGAAAGGGUUCAGCCCCUUAGGCACUUCUCUCUCUUUCGAAUUUGCUGAGGAAAAUUAUUUCCGUGAAGAAAAUCCAAGCCGAGGCGCUUCCGUAACGUUUCCGUAACGUUUCCGUGAGUAAUUACGCGAAGAUUCUCGACCGUUCUUCAAAGAUUCAUCAUUCGUUCUUCGUUUUCUUCAGUCUUCAACGGGUAAGUACCUCAAACCAAGCUUUUCAAUUCAUUAUAUGUACCCGUGGUGGUCCACAUUGUGUUUCAUGUAUUUUCAUUCUCGUUUUCAUUUACUUUUUAUACCCCCUUUUGACCUGCUUAAGCCAUUUAUUUAAGUCAUUUCUCGCCUAAUCUAAAAAUAAAAUAAAUUUCCACUGAUCGUUUGAAUUGUAUCAUCCGUUAUUUUGGUUAAAAUGAAUUCCGACCGUUCGGUCGUGCCGUAACCAUGUUGGAAAUCAAAAAGAGGUAAAAUAAUAAUAAUAAUCCAAAAAUAUUUUUUAGUAAAAUGAAGCACAAAAAAUCAAUCGGACGUUUUCUCUUUGGGAUUUUUCAUUCUUAAUUGAAUUGACUAAUAACUAAAGCGAAACUAAGGCUAAAGUCAAUUCGCCAAGUCAAGCUCGUCCACCAAAAAGUCACUAAAAAAGGGAUUUUGAAAGUUUAUCAUUUCAGUUUCUUACCAAGUAAAAUGGAUCAUUUUUAAGGUCCAACGCCUUAAAAUGAUCACCCUUCAAGUAAAAGAAUCACUUGAUUCACGCAUAAGAAAGAACUACGUAAGUCUGAUUUCCUCAACAAAGGAGGGUACAUAGGAGCAAAAGUCCCGCUUUUGUCGACCUCAAAAAAUAAAAAGAAAUAAAAGUUAAGGUAACACAAUUUCCACGAUUCUAAAAAAUAGGUUGUUGUCCUUUGAGACAAACGUGAGAGGUGCUAAUACCUUCCUCAAACGUAAAUACAACUCCCGAACUUAGAAUUUUCAUUUUGACCGGUUUCCUUCGGUUUUCCCGACGUUUUCCACAAAUAAACGUUGGUGGCGACUCCGCGCAUCUUUCCUCCUUUGGAAAGCGCACCCAUGAGCCUCGCCCUCGCUCGCCCGCGAAGGGCACGUUGCGACACAUGUGUACAUUCAUAAUGCGCUUAACCAUCUAUUCAAAAUAUACACGUUUUAUUUGAAGGGUAUUUGUCUCUUGCUACCUAUUCUAUAUGUACAUGGUGAAUAACAUUCUCAAACAAACUAGGCAAACAUCAUGGUGCAGCCCCAAAAAUCAGCCGCUUGCCUAAAGGGAAAUCCCUAUCACAAUGCCUUCGUUUUUAUGCCUUCUUGCUCUCAAAACCAAAGGCUUGGAUUCCUAGGUCUAAGUGCUUAAUUUGGGCCCUUAUUUUAAUCUCUACAUGCUGUCCCUAUACACAUAAAACAGCCCCACAAUCCAAAGUUCACAAAACCAUGCCCAAAUGUCAUUGAGGCAUUUCACCGAGCACUUGGUGGGUGCAUGUUUAGGCAUGAAUAGCAAGGGAAUGGGGGCAAUGUGGCAUGCCCAAUCUUUUCAGAAUACAACUUAGGCCUAAGGCCACUACCUACAACCCUCCAACUCAACAAAAACAAGCAACAAUUCAAGGAUAAAUCCCUCACAUUUUUUAGCAAAUACAUGCAACUUAGAGCACCAAAAUACAUCAAUGGAAAGCUAGAGAGCCCAAGAAUGAGGUACUUACCUGUUGCAGAUGAAUAAUAGCGCAAAAUGGAAUCAAAAACAUGGAGAAAUGGUGACCUAAGGUUGGAAAACCAAGGAAUCUCGUGAGCCUUCGUUUUUUUAAUGAGGGGGGGAGAGUUUUUGGGUGAAGAAAACUUCCCCCUCCCCCUUUUUAACCAUUUUCGUGUAGGGGGUGCUCACCCAGGCGAGCUAACCUGCAUUUUUUUUUCUUUAGGGAAGACAUAAGUAUGGCUCUCUACGGGUCGGCGUUCGCUUACUCGAACCCCCGUAAGGGUAGAUGAGACAUCCGAUACUUACCUUAAAGACACCUUAACAAUAAUUACUGGGAGUUUAAAGGAUACUAGGUUGUCCCUCAGCUACGCUUCCCGCUUGUCCAGUGUUGGGCAUGUGGUGACGAUCUAUCGAUUGUGAUCCUAGCCUUUACUUGCGUCCGUCCCUAAGUACCUGAAAGUAGGAAACGACAUUGCGCAGCAAACCGUGGCCGCGCUACCGUUUUACCUUGAUUGGUUUCUGCCUUUAGCCCCAUCCCAGCAUUUGACCACUGCCUAAGACGAUUCUGCUCUUGUCAUAAGAUAACAAAAUAUGCAUGCGUAUGCGUAUGCAUGAGCGUUUUCAAAUGCAAUAAUCCUUUUUGAGAAAGCUGAUCAGAUUUAGUUUUAGUUAAGCGCUUGGGGCAUCCCAUGGAUUGAGCGAAAAGGUUCAUAGUUAUAAAAAACUACACAUGGUUUAAAGCACAAAGUGAGGACUGAAGCCUCAAUCCCAUAUUUUCUCCUUUUAAAAGAUUGUGACGAGAAAAUUACAGCGGACAGGAAUCCCCUAGGGGAAACCAAGAAGAACACACACAAAUAAAAGAACAUGCAACGACUUCCUCAAUUGCCCCAGAUCCUAAGCGUAGUAUCGCUUGACAACAUCGGAGUUCACGAGUGAAGGUAGCUCCUCGCCAUCCAUGUUGGUGAGCACCAGAGCCCCUCUGGAAAAAGCACUUUUCACAACGAAAGGCCCUUCGUAGUUUGGGGCCCACUUCCCUCGAUUAUCUUUAACAGCGUGGGACAUCUUUUUCAGCACAAGGUCGCCCUCAUGGAACUUGCGCGAGCGCGCCUUCUUGUCGAACGCGUUCUUCAUUCUUUGUUGAUACACGCGAUCAUGGCUCAUGGCCGUCAAGCGCUUACCUUCAAUAAGGUUGAGUUGGACAUAGCGUGUUUGAGCCCACUCUGAUUCUUCUAGGCCUGAUUCCACUAGUAUCCUCUGGGAAGGGACCUCUACCUCAAACGGGAGUACCGCUUCCAUUCCAUAAACCAAGGAGUACAGUGUUGCCCCAAUAGAAGUUCGUACCGAAGUUCGGUAUCCAUGCAGGGCAAAAGGCAACAUCUCAUGCCAAUCUCUGUACGACAUUGUCAUCUUCUGAAUAAUUUUCUUAAUAUUCUUAUUGGCUGCUUCCACAGCUCCGUUCAUCUUUGGUCGGUAGGGCGUGGAAUUGUGAUGCUGGAUUUUGAAAUCCAUGCACAUUUCCUGCAUCAUUUUGUUAUUCAGAUUGGUGCCAUUGUCAGUAAUGAUCUUCCUAGGGAGUCCGUACCAGAAAAUCAGCUCCCUCUUUAUGAAUCUGACCACCACACUCCUUGUGACAUUGGUGUAGGAAGCCGCUUCGACCCAUUUGGUGAAAUAAUCUAUUGCCACAAGAAUGAAGCAAUGACCGUUCGAAGCCUUGGGUUCGAUGGCCCCUAUGACGUCUAUCCCCCACAUGGAAAAAGGCCAAGCGGCGGACAUGACAUUUAGAGGAUGUGGCAGAACAUUGACAUUGUCCGCGAACGCUUGACAUUUAUGGCAUUUCCUUACAUGGGUGCAGCAAUCACUUUCCAUGGUGAGCCAGUAAUAACCUGCUCUAAGGAUCUUCCGGGCCAUAGCAUGCCCAUUGGCGUGCAUUCCAAACGAACCCUUGUGGACUUCCUCGAUCAUGUGGUUCACCUCUUUGGCAUCCACGCAUCGCAGGAGGGUCAUGUCAUGGUUUCUCUUAUAUAGUAUGCUCCCGCUCAUGAAGAAACAGGCUACCAAUCUCCUCAAUAUCCUUUUGUCGUUGUCGGAAGCCUCUGGUGGGUACUUUUUGCUUUCGACGUAUCACUUGAUAUCGAAAUACCAAGGCUUACCGUCCCGCUCCUCUUCCACCUGACAACAAUGCGCGGGUCUGCCACGACACCAGAACUCAAUGUACGGUAAGUCCCCGUGCGGUGUUAGCUGGAACAUGGACGCCAAAGUGGCAAGCGCAUCCGCCAUCUGGUUUUCCUCUCGGGGAACGUGAUGGAAGGAGAUCUCAUCAAAGGAACCAGCCAACUCCUUGAUAUAGGCUUGGUAGGGUAUCAACUUGGGGUCUCUAGUUUCCCAUUCCCCUUUCAGUUGGUGGAUCACCAGUGCUGAGUCCCCGUACAUCUUGAGUAGCUUGACAUUGGAGUCAAUUGCCGCCUGGACGGCCAGGGCACACACUUCAUACUCAGCCAUAUUGUUGGUGCAGUCAAACCCCAGCCUGGCUAUGAAAGGUAUACAUUGAUUGUCUGGAGAGACCAAUACUGCUCCAAUGCCAUGACCUAGAACGUUUGACGCUCCAUCAAACCACACGGUCCACUUGCCCUGGUCCUCGUCUAACUUUUCCUCAAACAAGGCCAUGAUGUCCUCAUCCGGGAAUUCGGGAUGCAUGGGCUGAUAGUCGUUAAGAGGCUGUUGAGCCAAAUAAUCUGCCAAGGCGCUUCCUUUUAUCACCUUUUGGGUGACGUAGACUAUAUCGAACUUGGAUAGCAAAACUUGCCACCGGGCGAUUCGUCCUGUGAGAACAGGCUUCUCAAAGAUGUACUUAACUGGGUCCAUCUUGGAUAUCAACCAGGUGGUAUGGCUCAACAUGUAUUGUCUUAGACGGUGGGACGCCCAGACUAAGGCACAACACGUUCUUUUGAACAAGGAGUAAUUCAUCUCACAGGCCGUGAACUUCUUACUCAAGUAGUAGACAACGCGCUCUCUCUUCCCGGACUCGUCAUGUUGCCCCAGCAUACAUCCCAUCGACUCGUCCAAAAUCAUCAUAUACAAGAUGAGAGGCCUUCCAGGUACCAGCGGUAUAAGCACGGGAGGAUUUAUGAGACACUUCUUGAUCCUUCCAAAUGCCUCUUGACAAUCCUCGUUCCAGCGAACGGAUUGGUUUUUGCGUAAGAGUUUGAACAAUGGCUCACAGAUAGCGGUGAGCUGUGAUAUGAAUCUGGCAAUAUAAUUCAAACGUCCCAGGAAACUUUGGACCUGCCUCUCAGUACGGGGUUUCGGCAUCUCAAGGAUGGCUUUCACCUUUUCGGGGUCCACCUCUAUCCCUUUCUGGCUCACAAUGAAACCUAGAAAUUUCCCUGAUUUGACCCCGAAGUUGCACUUAGCGGGGUUUAACCUCAAUUGAUAUUUCCUAAGCCUUUCGAACAACUUCCGCAGGUUGACAAGGUGUUCCUCCUCGGUUUUAGACUUGGCAAUUAUGUCGUCCACAUAGACCUCAAUUUCUCGGUGCAUCAUAUCAUGGAACAAAGCCACCAUAGCCCGCUGAUAAGUUUCCCCAACGUUCUUGAGUCCAAAGGACAUCACCUUAUAUUAGAAUGUCCCUCACAGGGUGACAAAAGUAAUCUUUUCCAUAUCCUCCGGCGCCAUUUUUAUCUGAUUGUAACCGAAGAACCCAUCCAUGAAAGAAAACAAAGCGAAAUUGGUCGUAUUAUCCAUGAGGAUAUCGAUGUGCGGCAGAGGGAAAUUGUCUUUGGGACUGGCUCGAUUCAGGUCCCGAUAAUCCACACACAUCUGCACCUUCCCAUCCUUCUUCGGGACUGGUACAUUGUUGGCAACCCAUUCGGGGUACCGAGCGACAGCCAAAAAACCAGCGUCAAAUUGUCUCUUUACCUCUUCUUUUAUUUUCAAGGAUGUCUCGGGCUUCAUCCUCCUCAGUUUUUGUUUCACCGGGGAAUACUCAGGAUUUAGAGGUAAUCUGUGUUGUACGAUGUCAGAACUCAAACCGGGCAUAUCUUGGUACAACCAAGCAAAGAUGUCUUGGUAGUCUUUUAGCAGGGCUGUCAAUUCUUCGUGGAUGGGUGUGUUCAUACCCGUGCCUAUCUUUACUUCUUUUUUCCCACUGCCGGUUCCUAAGUCCACUAGUUUCGUCUCUUCUUGAUGAGGCCCCAUUUCUUGGUCCUCAUGAGCGACUAUCUUCUUCAACUCCGGGGGAAGUCCCACAUCUUCGUCCUCUUCAUCCUCUGUCUGAUCCGUUUCUUGCUUAUAAUCGAUGGUCGGGUCUCAGGUAUUAGUACCUUCGAGGGACUCAUCGUCGGAUCUGGCAUUUUAAACAUAAAUAAAUAAACAUGCAAAUGAAUGAGAAUGGGUAGAGACGUAGGAACAGAUGAAGAAAGAUCUGUAUAUUUUAAAUUCAGGAAUAAAAGACAUAAAGCCUUAACAAAAGGAAACUCUAAAGCCUAGCCCAACCGUAGAGUUUAAAAGCCACAAAGGGUUACAUUAUACUUGUCAUGUAAAUGUCCGGGCGCUCCUCCACUCGCCAAUUUCCUAGUCGGAAACCAGGAGGGCAUGGUCGUACCAAAUCCGACCCACUCGGAGAAUCAUCUUCGCAUAUCGCAACGACUUGGCCUUUGUGUCCUAGACCCGCGCUUAUAAAGCUCCUACUGAUGUGGUAGGGCGGGCCCCCUUUGACUUCUCGUCCCAAUCGCAAGCCUUGACUUCCGCUCUUUCUUCCCGCAACUCUUUUCCUUAUGUCUGCUUGUGUGGGUUUAUAGUCUAACCUAAACUUCUCACAGUUUCCUCUAGCACUUAUCAGGCUGGUUCUGCCGCCGUUGUUCUUGCCUAAACCCAUUCCGGGCUCGUAACCAUUCCCCAACAUCACCCGGGCCACCAUUACUCUCGUAUCGAACAAGCAGGGUUGCCCAGAGAAAGAAUCUAAGGAGGCAAUGCUUACUACCUCAAAAGACUGGAAGGUUGUUUCUAAUGACUCCUCCGCGGCUUCCACAUAUGGCUUAGAGGACGGGCAACUCACCAAGAUGUCUUCCUCGCCCGACACGAUAACCAAAUGCCCUUCUACUACGAAUUUCAAUUUUUGGUGGAGUGUAGAGGGAACGACUCCCACCGAGUGGAUCCACGGGCGUCCCAAAAGACAACUGUAAGCCGGGUUAAUAUCCAUUAUUUGAAAGGUAACCUGACAGGUAUAGGGGCCUAUCUGUACAGGGAGGUCGAUCUCUCCCCUAACCUCUCGGCGGGUUCCGUCAAAGGCAUGGACCACCAUGGAACUUGGCUUUAGAUGGGAAGCAUUAAACUGUAAUUUCUCCAACGUGCUUUUGGGCAUUAGAUUUAAACUAGAACCGUUAUUGAUGAGCACCUUGGUCAUGACGUGGUCCAUGCAUUUGACUGAUACAUGCAAAGCCCUGUUAUGCCCUCUCCCCUCGGCAGGGACUUCUUCUUCGGCGAAGGCGAGAUAGUUGUUGGCAGUGAUAUUAUUGACGAGUCUUCCAAAGCCUUCUACAGAGAUAUCUUGGGCCACAUGAGCUUCAUUCAAGACCUUUACUAGCAAAGCCCGAUGAGGCUCAGAGCUCAUGAGAAGUUCCAAAAGAGAGACAGUGGCUGGGGUUUCGUUGAGUUGCUCAAUGACCUUGAACUCGCUUUGCUGAAUAAUGUGGAGGAACUCGCUUGCUUCCUCUAGCGACACUUCCUUCUUGCCAUAGCCAUCCCUUUUCUCCGGAAGACCUUUCACUAGAAUAUCCUCGUUCGGAGUGGGGGUCGUUUUGUCAUUUUGUUCUUCCACCAUCUUUGCCUUCCCUUUAACAUUUGCGGGUUGUGUCGGCAGGUCGGGGGGUGCAAACAUGCGACCGCUGCGGGUCACGCCGCUCAGCCCCGUGAUAUUGGUUACCUUGGCUGACAACGAACUGAUGUCGGUGGCCUCUUCCUUCCUUUCACUUGGAGGUGAAUACCUCCAUGGGACUACGUGGCUGUUUCGGUAUGGGAAAGGAAUAGGUUUAACUACCGAGGGGUAUCGAGGCUUUUGAGGAGCUGCGUCUUUGGUGAAAUAUACCACCAAAGGCUUAGGCCUUCCAAAACUUCUCUCAUCCGCGAACUGCAUACAUAUAUGUUGUUCUUCCCUCCCCUCAUCGCUGACUUCCGGUCAGCCUUGAUCUAUCAUCUGUUGCAAAAGGUCCUCCACUGCUAAACAUGUUUCCAUGUUAUGUAGCUCGUCGGGAUGCAACAAACAAGAAUCCUUUUCAUGCCCACCGUGGGGAAUUGCGCCCCCCUUUUGUAGAGCCUCGUAGAUAAACCUCCUGGGGGUCGUCACGUCCUUUAAAGGCUUAGACCUGCGUGGCCUACCCGACUCGACGGCAUUAACUGCUCCCCCUCCAUGAUUGGCGAGCGGGUUUGUUUUCACAUUGGGCCGAUCCUCUUGAAACGUUAGCCAUCGGCGUCCAUCAAAUGUUGGACCUUGUAUUUAAGGGCCAAGCAUUUUUCGGUGGAGUGGCCCGGGGUUUUCCCAUGGUACGCGCAAGUUGCGUCAGGGUCAUACCACUUUGGGAAAGAAGGUUGGUAGAUCUUCCCGAGAGAUAUCACAGCCAUCGGGUUGCCGAUGAGGGACGACAAGAGAUCUUCGUACGUCAUUGGGAUUGGGGUGAAUUCUAGAAUUGGCCUCGGGGGAAAGUUUCUCAUCGCGUUGGAACCGGCACCAAAGUGGGCAUUGUCGGUCGGGCAAGUCGUAGUUGGAGUCGGAGCUUGGGGGGCCUCCCUCUGGAUGGGGGUGGGCGCUCUAGGUUGUACGGGUGCUGAAUUGGAGGAGCUCCCAGCGCGAGCUGAGAAGCUCAGAUGAUGUUGCGCGUACUAAUGGGUACCAUGAGAGGUCUGCGGUGGCUUGACCCAUGCGGGCACCAAAGUGACGGCAUGGGUAUCUCCUUCCUUCCUAUUUGCCCCAGUUGAUCCGAUCCUCCUAGCAUUGGUACUUGUGGAGGAGACGUAAUCAAACUUCCCUCUCUUCAAUCCUACUUCAAUUCUCUCCCUGGCAAAUACCAAGUCCGCGAAGCUGGAGGGCACAUAGCCUACCAACUUCUCAUAGUAAAACACCGAUAAGGUGUCUACCAUCAUGGUAAUGAUCUCCCUCUCGACCAUGGGAGGGGUCACUUGUGCUGCCAGGUCUCUCCACCGCUGUGCGUACUCUUUAAAGGUCUCACUUUCCUUCUUAACCAUGUUCUGCAGCUGAGUGCGAUCGGGAGCCAUAUCGGAAUUGUACUGAUAUUGCCUAAGGAAGGCAAUAAUCAGAUCCUUCCAAGUACAAACGCGGGAAGCUUCCAGAUUAGUGUAUCAAAUGACUGCGGCUCCAGCCAAGCUAUCUUGGAAAAAGUGCAUUAACAAUUUUUCAUCCCUAGAAUGCGCCCCCAUCUUGCAACAAUACAUCUUGAGAUGGUUCUUAGGACAAGUCAUCCCUUUGUACUUGUCGAAAUCAGGUACCUUGAAUUUUGGGGGGAUGACGACAUCCGGUACCAAGCAAAGAUCCGCCAUGUCUGCAAACGGAUAGUCGCCAAAGCCUUCAACAGCUCUCAAUCUCUCCUCGAUGAGAUUGAGUUUCCUUCUUUCUUCCGCCGCCAAGGGUGGUCCCUCUGUGGACAAGAAUAUUGGUUGUGCUGUGGGGUUGUGCUGAGGCAAUACAUUGGGUGCCACCCCUCGACGGGGACCAGGGGGUAGAAAUCGACAUCCCCUUGGGCAUACUCUCGAUGAUCCUCGUGAACCUCGGCGGCCUGUCGAGGAGGCUCCCCUUCAAGGAUGGGGGAAAGGACAUGACCCGCGUCAUCACGCAUGACUGGUGGCGUGUAAUUAGGUGGUAAUCCAUAAGGGUAAGCCACCCGGUUGUAUCCCAAAUGGGGGUUGCUGGUGUGCCCCAGUGUGCUCCUUUCUCGUCCUACCGCAUUUGGGAGAGGAUGGUGCGCGGUAACCGGGAGAGUUGGGUCUGCUUCGACAGCCGAACUAACAGCGGCAGCAGUGGCCACGUUUUUCUCCAUGAGUUGUCUCAUUCCUAACAUGGCCUCCAUCAUGGAAACCAUUUGCUCUUUCAAAGCCGACAUGUCAGCUUUCAUCUGUUCCUGUGUCUCCUCUUGAUCACCCAUCAUUAUAGAUUUGGAUCUGGUGCAAUAGGGAUGCCUUGGGGCGCGUUUAGUUAUGGUUUUUUUCCUAAAAAAACCAAACGUGAGGAGUAGGUAAAAAAUGAAUGCAUGCUAGAGAUAAAAUGCGGGAGUGAUUUGAUUCGCACCGAUCUUUGGAGUAAAAACAUGGGAUAAACUCAUUUUAUUAAGAAAGUUUAUAACUAGUCAAGAUCUGAGCGACAAUACAAACUUCCUAGCGGUUUCUAAUUAUAUGGGCCAUUAAAUCUAUCAUAUGCUGACAAUAGCCAAGGAGUCCGUGGAUCUCCUCGGGGGUGGAGUAGGUGUCCGCCAUUGCUUUGGCCUUGGCUAGCAAUCGGGGAAGCUCUUGACUCCCGUUCAAGGUAAGAGCAAAUCGGUCCAUCCACAUUGUUGCCUCUUGAUGUAACGCGUCGAUCACCCUUCCUCUAGCCUCCUUUUCCGCGUACACUUGGGCAUACUCGUCCGCCACUUUGUGCUCGUGGGCCGUGGCUAGAUUUAGUUCUUCUUGGUACUUGCUGACGAUAGCUAACAUGUUGGUCUCUGUCUCGCAUAAACGCUGAGACAAGUUUCUUUUGGACCUUGAGCAAGCAGCCAACUCCUCUUUCAAGAUCAAGCUAUGUGCUCGUGAUUGGUCUCUCUCUUCCCUUCGAAGCUUGAGCUCACUGUUGCUGCCCCACAAAGCUCCACGAAAUUUUUCACGGCCAUGCUCUUCCUUGCGAGCCCUCUUGGUUUCUUGUUCAAGGGCUCUUGCGGUAGCUGCAUUUUCUUCUCGUAACUCGACACACUCUUUUCGGACGUCUGUAGCGACCAACUUGAAUUUUUCUUUGGCAAGUCUUGCUUUUCCUAGUUCUAUUUUUAGAGCUCGGACUUCUUCAUCCUCUUUCGGAGCUUCGAAGUUCACUUCGUUGAUAAUCUUUAACUUGGAGAGCCAAUCUAACCCUCGUGUACGAACUUUCAACCAUUCAUGAUAACCACUGAUGAUGCCAUUGCAAAUGCCCCUAAGUUCUUUAUCUUUCCUUAACGGGCUUUCCCACGCCUUAUGGACUCUUUGUAUAACCUUGAAACUUUGCACGCCGAAAUCUCUCACAAGGAAAUGAGACAGGCUUUCUUCCGUCGGUGCUCCCCUCAUGGGGUACCCUAACUGUCUUAUAGCAAGUGCAGGAUUGUAGUUAAUGCAACCCCUCAUUCCUAUCAACGGGAUGUUUGGGUAGUCCCCACAUGAGAAGAGAACUUCCUCAUUUCCUUCCUUCCAUCGUGGAAACCAGUUGAUUGUUCUGCCUCCUAUCCCAGCCAAGUGUUGGUCCCAAUCUACUCUUCUCUUUUCGACACACGGGCGAUGGCUUCGGAGCGGACAUGGGUGCCUUAUGUCUUGUUGAAAUAGGUGUGAAACCAACCAUACACAAAGAGCGGGUAAACAGCAGAUGAUCCGUGCGCUACUCUUCUCGCACCUUCGGUCAAAUGUGUCAAAUAAGUCCACCAAGAUAGCCACUACCAGGCUUUCUUUGCUAUGGUGAUAUGCAAGGAAAGCAUAAAUUGCGGCUAGGUCCACCAAAACAUCCAUGUUUGGAAAAAGGACAACCCCAAAGAUUAGCAAUGCUAAUACGUCCAUAAACAGGACCCACUCCUCUUGAUUCGCCAUAUCCCUUGCCUUGCCUUCUAAGUACUUCCGUGGUAGGCCCACUACGCCGUUUAGAGUUUUCUUUACACGAUCCAAUCCUCUCGCCGAAUUCCUGACCACAACUGCAAUCUUGCUCAAGGAGGGAAGAAACCCGGAGAAAAGAUACGGUUUCCUUCCCCCAAGAGGACAUCCUAGAAUCUCCAUAAAUUCUUCAACAGUCGGUACUAAUUGGAAGUCUCUAAACGUGAAGCAUCUCAAAGGCUGGUCAUAGUAUUGGGUGAGUGAUAUAACGGCUUCUGUGGAUAUCUCUACUAUGGUCAAAUCUAAAAUCUUUCCGUACGCCUUGCGGAAGGCUUGCAUUUGGAGAGGUCCCAUCAACCGCCCCAACUCCUUAAUGCUGGUGAUAUCUAGGCCCUUAAUCUUGACUUGAUAAAACAUUUUUCCAGUUUGAUUUGUUCCCAUGUUUUACUAAAGUGAAACAAAAACCGAGUGCGAAUCAAAACUCCGACAUCUAUCAUGGGUGGAAUGGAUGAAUGCAUGAAGAAAUGCAUAUGACACAGAUGCAAUUUAUGAAUACAGGAGCUCGGGAAAUUGUCUCCUUCUUAGAUACAACGUCUUGGGGUAGCACGAUGCCUGACAUAUGUAUUUAAGAAGGUGACACGGACCCUCCGUUGGUUUGCCCAAAAGAGGGGAUCAAGACGAAACUCGUGCAUGAUGCAUAUGCGAAAGGCACAACACGGGGAUGUACAUAGUAUGACAAUAUUCACAAACAAAUAUAAGCAAAGGGGUACAUGACACUUUGGAUUACAUGCAUGGCAGUGUGAAAAAGUGGCACGCAGCGUGUUUGCUCCGUGCCCCUAUUUUAGGGACCUACAUGGGAGAAGGCUAAAAGGGCUUUUUAGUGAUAAUUCCCAAGGUGGUCAUAUCUCUCUUGAUGGUCUCUAGAGGUAUCAUCCCCUUCGAAGAACAUAUUGCAGCAGUAGGGACUACUAGCAACAAUAUGUUAUCAAAGAGAAAAACUCUAGAUGAGGGUUCGCUGUAAUCAAGCAAGUCGGAGACCUAGCAUGAUCACAGAUUCGCCUCUACUCCUUAUGUUCCCACGAACCUAGGUAUAGGGCCCUUUUUCAACUCACCGUGUGUGCAAAUAGUGUUGGUGUUUGUGUGCAUCAAAUGAAUAAAUAUUUAUCUUACACAUACAUUAAAAAAUACACUAAAGGCAUCCAAGACUUAUAUACAAGAACACAAGAGAAAUAAAGGGAAACCAACAAGGGAGAAAGUCAUGAUAAAACAUUGCACAAGAUUAAAUGGCCUAACUCUCUAAAAAUAGUCCCCAGUGGAGUUGUCAACUAUCGCAACCUACCCUUCGACGGGAGGGCGACAUGGGGCUCACGGGUGCGUCUUCCAAGAAAGGAAUGCACGCGGAGUCGCCACCAACGUUUAUUCGAGGAAAACAUCGGAAAAACCGGAAAAGGCGUGGUCUACGAACUUUAAGUGAAAGGUUCGGGAGUUGUAUUUACGCACGGAGAAGGUAUUAGCACCCCACACAUUCGUCACAAGGGACGACAGCCUUUAAUCAAAUGUGCAAACAUGACUUCAAUUUGUGUUAUCUUUCCUUUUUUACAUUCUUAUGUCUUUUAUAUUUUUUAUCUUUAUGUGGUCGACAAGGGUAUUUCCCUUGCUCCUACGUAUUCCUCAAUCGUGAUAAGGAAAUCAUACCUGCGUAGUUCUUUGAGAACUAAACGUUGGUUAAAUUGUUUUUAUCCUUUUUUGCAAGAUAUAUUUUUAUUGAAUGAAAGGUCACUUAAGGCGUUGGACCAUUAAACGAUCUAUCGAUUCUUUUUUAAAGGAGAGAAAAUAUUAAGGCAUUGGAUCAUUAAUGAUCUCAUGUUUUUUUGAAAGAGGUGACAAAGCUAUGUGUUGAUUUUAGGCUUUAGAAAUCCACGUUUAACCAAUAAAAGCGGAAAAGACCAUUUCAAGGCGUUGGACCUUAAAAAUGGCUUUUUAGGUGAUGACAAAAGUUUGAUUUAUGGAUUGAUUUGAGCCUUAGUUUCACUUUGGUUAUUAGUCAAUUCGAUUAAGAAAGGAAAAUCCCAAAGAAAAAUGUCUGAUUGAUUUUUUUUUAUUAUUUUACUAAAAGAUAUUUUUUGAUUAUUAUAUUAUUAACGUGGUUACGGCAUGACCGAACGGUCAGAUUUCAUUUUAACAGAAAUUAAAAGAUGUUACAAUACGAAUGAUCGGUGGAAAUUUAUUUUAUUUUUUAUUAAGCGAGAAAAUGACUUAAAUAAAUUACUAGAGCACGUCAAAAGGGGGUACGGAAAGUAAAUGAAAUGAAAAUAAAAGCGUGCGAAACAAGUGGGGACCACUAAGGGUACAUAGAAUGAAUUGAAAAGUUCGAUUUCGAGAACUUACCGGUUGAAGACCGAAGAACGACGAAGAACGAACGAAGAACGACGAAGAACGGUGGAAAAUCCUCGCGAAAUCGCCCACGGAAAUGUCUCGGAAGCGUUACAGAAGCGCCUCGGCUUGGAUUUUCUUCACGGAAACAAUUUUUCUCACUAAUUUUAAGUGAUUCUCAGAUACUAGGAGUGUUGAACAUUUUUGUUCUGCCCUCCUCCCCCUAUUUAUAGGAAAAAGAGGAAGGAGUUUGCCACCCAGUUCGCCCAGGCGAGCUAGGUUGCUUCCUCCAGAAGGCACCGCCUUCUGGGGGAACUUCCUGGAAGGCCCAAGUGGGCCUGAUUGCUAUUUGUACCCCCUGUUUACUAAAUACACCCCUGCCCUUUUUUGCUGAUUCUUUUUCCGUAACGUUACGGAACUUUACGAAUUUCGUAAUGAUACUUGUUUUCUUUCCGUAAUGUCACGGAACCUUACGGAUUACGUAAUCAUCCCUUUUUUGGCUUCCGGAAUGUUACGGAACUUCACGAAUUGUGCAACAAUGCUUCCUUUUGACUUCCGGCAUGUUAAGGAACCUCACGGAUUGUGCAACAAUCCUUCCUUUUAACUUCCGGCAUGUUACGGAACUUCACGGAUUGUCUAACGAUGGGUGCCAAGUACCUUGAAGUGGUCAAACGAGGGUCGCAUCCCAACAAACGGAUGGUCCCUGGACGAAAUUAGGGUAUAAAAGGCGACAAUGACCCUCAUCCACAUUUCGAAGACGAAAAUGUCUUCAGUCAUUGCAUGCCUUCAAAAUGCGACAAUGACCCUCAUCCACAUUUCGAAGACAAAAAUGUCUUCAAUCAUUGCAUGCCUUCAAAGGCGACGAUGUCCUCAUCUGCAUUUUGAAGACGACAAUGUCUUCACCUCGGAAAAAAAAAGAAAAGAAAAAAGAUAUAUAUAUAUAUAUAUAUAUAUAUAUAUAUAUAUAUAUAUAUAUAUAUAUAUAUAUAUAUAUCUAUAAAGAAAAAUAAUAAUAAUAAUAAUAAUAAUAAUAAUAAUAAUAAUAAUAAUAAUAAUAAUAAUGGAAAAAAGAAGAACAAAACGCGAAAAUGAGGAAUCUUAGUGUCUUCAUGCUUCCACGGGUUUUUCUACUAGGACUUCCGCUAAUGGCCGGUUGGAUGAUUCAACUCGAAUGGAAUUAGUGCCUUAUCUUUACUUCCAUUUUAUCUCCAAUAAAAGAUAAGUAAAGAGGGGUCACUAUCAUACCCUAAUUUCGUCUGAGGACCAUUGUUUGUCGGUAUGUAGACCUUGUUUGACUACUUCAAAACAUUACACCCCCAUCGUCGUGGAAUCCAUAAAGUUCCAGGAUGUUUCGGAAAGAAACCUGCCAAAUACACGAAAAUGUGGGUGUAUUUAGCAAAGUAGAGAGGGUGUAAACGGACUAUCAAGCCCAAAUUUUUUCCGGAGACAAUUGUUUGUUGGCAUACGGACAUCAAUCGAUCACUUCAGAAAGCUUAACGCCCAUCACCAUUGAAUCCGUAAAGUUCUGCGACGUUUCAGAAAGAAAUCGACAGAAAAACACAAAAGGAGUGUAUUAGGUAAAAAACGGGGGAGUAAAUAGCAAUUUUUAAAUCUAGACCCUUCCAGAACAUUUUUGAAGUUGGGUUGCUUAUGGUGGAAGCAACCAAACUCGCCUGGGUGAGCUAAGCUUGCCUAGGCGAGCUAGGCGGCAACCUCCUCCCCCGUUUUGUUGAAAAAUGGCUUCUGGGGCUUCCGUAAUGCUUCCGUAAAAUUUUUGAAAACUCUGGGUAAGCAUAUUUCACUUAGGAUUGGUAAAAGGGAAGAGAAAAAAGAGGAAAAUAAAGUUCAAAAUGCUUCCAUAACUUUUCCGUAAAGUACGAAAGGGGGGUGAACUUAGUAAUUUGGGGGUGCAUCCGGAAACUUCCUAAGGAAGCCUGGGGCAAGCUGGGCGGCAAGCUCCUCCCCAUUUUGGCUAGUUAAAGGACAAAUGGGUUGUUUCAAAGGGAUUCCUAACCCGUAUGUUAUGCAUUUCAGCUGUUUAGGGUGAAAAAACGUGUUUCCAUGAAGAAAAUCCAAGUCGAGGUGCCUCCGUAACGCUUCCAAGAUGUUUCCGUGGGUGAUUCCGUGAAGAUUUUUCGUCGUUCUUUAUCAUUCUUCAUCCGUUCUUCGGUCUUCAACCAGUAAGUGUUCGAAUCUGAGGCUUUCAAUUCAUUUCUUGUUUUGUUUGCUUUCAUCUUCAUCUUGUUCACUUUUGGUUUUCUUUUCUUCCGCUUUAACGAGCUUUUUACCGUUUAUUUAAGCCGUUACCUCACCUGCUAAUUGAUAAAAUGAAUUUCAACCAAUCAUUUGUGUUAUAAUCUCGUUUAAUCACUGUUAAAGUAAAAUCUAACCGAUCGUUCACACUGUAACCUUGGUUAAACAAAAAAAAGGCAAAAUAAUAAUAAAAUAAUCAAAAAAAAUCAUUCAGAUGUUUUUCUUUGAAAGUUUCCUUGAAUGAAUUGACUAAUAACCAAAGUGAAACUAAGGCUAAAAUCAACUCACAAACCAAGUUUUGUCUGCAAAAGUCACUUAAAACCAUUUUAAGGUUCAACGCCUAAAACGAUUAUCUUUGCUUUUAUCGGUUAACAUGGACCGUUCAAGAGCAUAAAAUCAACACAUAACUUUACGCCUUUGCAAGAACUACGUAGGUAUAAGUUCCUCAUCACAAAUUGAGGAUACGUAGGAGCAAAAGCUUCGCUUUUGUCGACCAUCCCUUUUCAAAAAAACAAGAGAUCGUUAAUGGUCCAAUGCCUUAACGUUUCUCUUCUUUAAAAAAACAAGAGAUCGUUAAUGGUUCAAUGUCUUAACGUUUCUCUCCUUUCAAAAGAAUCAAAAGAUCGUUUAAUGGUCCAACGCCUUAAACGACUUUUAUUCGGUUAAAAUCAAUCUUACGACAAAAGAUAAAAACAACUUAACCAACGUUGUAGGUCUGAUUUCCUCAUCGCAAUUAAGGAUACGUAGGAGCGAGGGAAACACCCUUGUCGACCACAAAAAGAUAAAAAAAUACAAAAGGCCCAUAAAAAGCAUAAAAACAUAAAAAAGGAAAAAAAAUACAUAAAAACAUAAAAAAGGGGAAAAUAUGUAGUUUUGAAGUCAUGUUUUGCACACUUGAUUAGAGGUUGUCGUCCCUUGUGACGAACGCGUGAGGUGCUAAUACCUUCCGCGUGCUUAAAACCAACUCCUAAACCUUUCACGAUUAAAGUUUGUAGAUCACACGUUCCGGUUUUUUCGACAUUUUCCUCGAAUAAACGUUGGUGGUGACUCCGCGCGCCUUCCUCUCUUGGAAGACGCACCCGUGAACCCUCGCGUCGCCCUCCCACCGAAGGGUAGGUUGCGACAUAUCCAAACAUGCAAAUUAAAAACAGAACCAGGCACUACAAAAUAUUAUGUUUAAAUUAUUAUUAAGUAAUUACUAUCAAAUAAAAGAAAUACUUUAAUACUUAAAGUAAUGAAAGUUUGAAAUCCAGCUAACUACAUAAUAAUCAAUAAAUAUUUUAAAGAAAGUAACAAUUCCACACACACCAUAGAAAAUAUCAGGCUAAAAUAAUGUAUAUCAUAAUUUCUUCUUUUCAUCCGAGAUUUGUAACAAUAAGACCCUAAUAUUCAACAAAAACAAAGAUAAUAAAUAAACUCCAAUUGCCAUCAUUGCAUGUUAACUAAUAGUAAUCGACAAAUUGCAGACAUUAGCUACAGCUAGUGAACAACUCUCAAAUGCCUAAUCUGACUCAAGCUUCCUACUAUAUAAAGACAACAAUAUGGUUAGAAAACCAAUAAACUAAUUGAUAAUUUGACAUAGACUAAUCUACCUUUUACGUGAUAUUGUUGCAUGAUAAUACCAAAAUAAAUGAAAGUAGAAUUGGAAUACUGCCAAAACAGGGGGGUGGGAGAGGGAAAAGGACAUCUAGAACACGCUGUAAAAAACUGAAGUCAUUAUGUUCCAUAAAUUUACACGAACUCAUUGGAUUAAUUUACAAGCUCCAUUUAAAAGUCUAAUACAAUAAAGUAAAGAAUUACUAAAAUAUUAUCUUAAUAUAUUGAGAUCAAUUUAAUUUGCAAUAAAGAGAAUGAAUUACCCCAAUUCAUAAUUUACAAACGACAUUGCUGCAUAAAAAUACAGCGCCUCCAAAUAAAUUUAAUUAGGGAUUAAACAAAGAAAAAACGACAACUAAGCACCGUUGUUGUGGGAUGAACACGUGAAUACAAAGUUCAAAUUAGUGAUCUAAGAGCUUUCAUAAGCUAAAGUAAUAGGAAAAGACUAUAAUUCAUACAUUAUGCAUGUAAAUUCCAAAAGGAAAACCAACGAGAACUAAUAAUAUGAUUUGAAAAAAUUAAACCUUUUUUAAACAAUCAUUUUCACAAACACCCAAUCUACAAUUGCAGAUCAGGGAGAAUAACAUUACCUUGAGCGGUGGAUCUGCGAUAGAGGAAUCCAUCAUUGGCAAGGUUGAUGGAUUUCAGCAUCGGAACACUGUGUGGCACCACCCUGAACAUGGUGCCAAUGAGUUCGAUCUGAGCCUGCAUUUGGGUCAAGUCGACGGUGGUCUUGAGAUCGAUCAGGGGGAAGUUGGUGAAGACGAUGCCUUUUCCGAUGGCGGUGGGAGGGUGGUGCCAUUGGGGAGCACAACAUUGGAGGCGGAGACCAACAACUCGUCAUGGUCGAACCCAACAAAGACCUCCCACGACUUGAGCUCAACGAGGCCGUUGUUGAGCAUCGUCAUCGUCGACUCGAACCGGUAAGGCUACUUUGUCGAGUUAGAGACAUUCGACGGCAGCCGCGCGCCGUCGGUGUAGGCGUAAGAGACGAGGAUGCCAUUGCAGGAUUGGCGUCGGCGAAUGACGCCGUUCCAUCUUGGUUUGAGUUUGCGCUUUAGUUGGCUACUUUCGAAUUUCAAAAUUUGAACUACGAGAGAGAAACGUAUAACAUUGGCGGUUUACAAUUCCCAAACUACACCUGUUUUGCUUGGUUCACGGAAGUCGGGUUUGGCCACCCCGACUUCCCUAGCUGAUGUUUUUUUAUAAAUUAAAAUAUCAUUAAAAUUAAAUAUUAUAUUAUAUAAAAAUAUUUUAAUUGAUUUUAAAAUUAUUUAUUUAUUAAAUUUAUUUUUGAAGGAUUAUUUUAUAAUUUUUUAAAGAGAAAUAUACAUAUAUAGAAAAAUAUAAAAAUUGGAUAAAAUUAUAGUAUAAUUUUUUAUUUACGUUAUAUGUAAUUUUUUAGUUAAAUUUAUGUUUUGUUGAUUUUUUUGUUAUGUUCUUAUAAUUAAAAAAUAAUAAAAUUAGUUAGUAAUAUUAACAUAAAUUAAAAAAAAUACCGUGAAAAAAUAAUUGAUACAUUUGUCUUAUAAAGUAGACAAAAUUUCAAAUUGUAAUAACUGAGAUGAUAGUCGAUAAUAAUGCAACAUAUUAAAAAUUACAAUUACAACACAAAUAUGACAAAACUAGUGAUGAUCUAGAAUAUGUUGUGCAUGCAGGAUACAUGUCUUCUUCUAUUUGGAUUACUGGUUUGCUAAAAAUAGCCAAAAUUUCUAUUGUGCAGAAUCGUUUCCAAUAGUUGCAUUGUGCUAACACCUUUGGCACAUCUUCGUCAUUUUUCAAUUUUGUUAUCUCAUAUUCAAUUAAAUUUUUUGAAUACUUAGCAUGACCUGGUUGUCGAAAGAACAAUCGUCAAACCAAUUGUGAUUCGUGGGGAACCCCUAUAGGUGCAACUUGCUUGAUUAAAUCCUUGAGUUUGUCCAUGCUACAUCCCAAAGGAAUGCCAAAUCUUAUUAGAUUAGUUCCAGUAAAGGAGUAACCCAAAAACUCACCUUAACGUGGUAUGUUUCACUUCCCGUUGUAAUACAUAAGUGCAUCAUGAGUAGGAGUGAUAGUUGAUUGAAGCCAUCCGAUGUUCUAAUAAUGGUACAUAAUAACUCUAUAGUGCCAACACACGAGUAUUGCUCAUUACACAUUAAUAUUGUAUAAACAUCAUCAUCAUUGGGUUGUUGUAAAAAAUGUUGAACAUUUGUCGAACAUCAGCAUCAUCUCACAGAAUAAAAGAUGUGUACAUAUAACAUUGUCUUGACUCAAAUAUAGGGUAUCAAAAGUGGAGAUGUUGGAUAUGUUGUUGUGGCUCAAUGUUUAGGUUUUGGUGAACAAGUUCAAGCAAUUGUGUAAAGGUUAUGACCUUGUUGACCAUGAAAGUUUUUGUGUUGUUACUAAUGAAGGUGGUGCCCUCAUUAGUAUUGAAAAUUUGGCCGUCGUAGUAAACACAAACAUAUGCAGUUAGGUGACACAUUGUGGAAGGGAUUGAGAUGAAAAUUUGAAAUUGUUACGAAUGUCGUUAGUUGUAGUGGUAUUUAUAGAAUUUGGUUAUAGUUAGGUGAGUCACUAGUUAACUGUGCAUUUAGAUGAACGGGUAAAUGAACACUUAAGCAUAUUUACAAGGGUCCAUAAUGUGCAAAUUGCAGAGUGAAAAAAACAAUCGAGAGAAAAAAAAAAGUGAGUUGUCCACGUCAUGUUAGAUUUACUGGUGUGACAUUAAUUUUUUUAGAGACGUGUGCAAAUUGUCGAGUGUUGUCAAUUUCAACUGUGAUUUAUCCCUGGUAAUUGAUGGAGCAAAAGUCCAUAAUAAUUAUUAGAGUGGAAAAAAAUUGAGUUGUCCAUGUCAUGUCAGUUUUAUUGGUGCGACAUUUAUUUUUUUAGAGACGUGUGCAAAUUGUCAAGUGUUGUCAAUUUUGACUGUGAUUUAUCUUUGGUAAUUGAUGGAGUAAAAGUCCAUUAUAAUUAUCAGAGUGAAAAAAAAUUGAGUUGUCCAUGUCAUGUCAGUUUUACUGGUGCGACAUAUAUUUUUUAGAGACGUGUGCAAAUUGCCGAGUGUUGUCAAUUUUGAGUGUGAUUCAUCCCUGGUAAUUGAUGGAGCAGAAGUCCAUUGUAAUUAUCAAAGUGAAAAAAAUUGAGGUGUCCAUGUCAUGUCAGUUUUACUGAUGCAACAUAUAUUUUUUUAGAGACGUGUGUAAAUUGCUGAGUGUUGUCAAUUUUCAGUGUAAUUUAUCCCUGGUAAUUGAUGGAGCAGAAGUCCAUUGAAAUUAUCAGAGUGAAAAAAAAUUGAGUUGUCCAUGUCAUGUCAAUUUUACUAGUGCGACAUUUAUUUUUUUAGAGACGUGUACAAAUUGCCAAGAGUUGUCAAUUUCGACUGUGAUUUAUCCCUGGUAUUUGAUGCAGCAGAAGUCCAUUAUAAUUUCAGAGUAUAAAAAAUUGAUUUGUGCAAAUCGCAGAGUGUGUUACGAAUUAUUUUUUUUGGAUUUUUUUACGUUAUUACCAUAGAAAAAGUGCCCAAAUCAUAGUUUUUUUUUAUUUUGUGUUUGUAUUUUGAGGUAAUAUCCCAUGGAACUGGUGCACGAUAUAAUUUUUUUGGAUUCUUUGAUGUUCAAAACAUAGAAAAAGUGUGUCACGAAUAUCAUUAAUGUGUUUAACAUAAUUUGAAAAAAAUACAGAACAUGGGUACUUACGCAUAGUUGCAAGGGUCCAAAUCAUAGUUUUUUUUUAUUUUGUGCUUCUAUUUUGAGGUGUUAUUCCAUGGAACUGGUGCACGAUAUAAUUUUUUUUGGAUUCUUUGACGUUCAAACCAUGAAAAAACUGUGUCACGAAUAUCAUUAAAGUGUUGGACAUAAUUUGAAAAAAAGGCAGAACAUGGGCACUUAAGCAUAAUUGCAAGGGUCCAAAUCAUAUUUGAUGAUGCCGUUACAGGGGUACUUAAACAUAUUUGAUUCCAUUAUCACAACAUUUUAUACUUCAAUGACCAAGACGAUGACCAGUCCCACAAGGUGGUGGACGACGAUUACGUCGCAGAUUUCUUCUUUCCAGUAUGACUGGUUCUCCCACGUCAUGAUGAUGUUGUUGUUCUGUGUUAGUAUUUUCAAUGUUGGUUGUUGCAGUUGAAGAACUUUGACCUUGUUCUCCAAAUAAAUGUGGUGCAUCAAACUGUUGUAAAGUAGCUAAAUAUGAUGCCACUGAAUUUGGUGUAUUGAAAUCGACGCCAAAUAAAUCGGUCAUCCAUUCAUGGGUGGUUGCGGUGACUGACUCGCUAGUGUGGCCAAAAGUUUGAUGAACAGGUGAAGGAGUAGAAUACAUGGACCAAGGAUGUGGAAUUUCAAAAUGUGUUUGUUCAACACCUAGCCCUGUAACAUUAUGGGUAAUUGCUGUGCGUGGAUCAUGUAGUUGUUGUGCAACAGACAAGAACAAAGUAGUGUUUUUCCUAUACCAUUCCAUGUACACUGGUGUAUGUGUCACUAUUCCUUCAACCCAUUGUCCAGCUAAAACAUCACUACGUUUGUUUUUCCAGAUAUUAAUCCACUCCGCAUGGUAUUCCAUCCAAUCAAUGUAAUGAUUACCUCGCAUGUCAAUUUGGUGAAGUAGAUCAAGAUUCAUGGGAUCAAUAGGGAUAUCUUGUUGUAGUCCAAACUAUAGUUUCACCCGAUUUGUUUGAUGCCAUUCGACAAUCGAGAAACAAAUAAUUGCAGUACAUGCAGACCAAAUCUCCAUGUCUUUAUAUGCACGUCUGGGUAGGUGUUCUUCAAAUCCUCUAUAUGGGACCCAUGAAAACUGAAAUAUAUGCCAACAAGGCAACAUGUUAGUGUGUAUGUACAUAUUUAAGGUGUAGAUCAUGAUAGUAUUAUACCUCAUGGCUCUCCAUAUGAUCUAUAUGAGACCUAUAUCCGACCAAGUCACCAUGAAGUGUGGCCCUAUAUUCUAAUCUACCACCACUCCAUCUGAAAUGUAAAACAUACAAAAUCAGUAUUCGUUGUAAUGUUAUAAUACACGUCAUUGAAAUAAAAAAAUUUACAUUUCGCUAUAUGUAAAUAACCUUUUAGCCAGUGAAAAAGUUGUUUCGGGUCGUGGGACUCUUGGUGCAAUAAAAGGCAUGCGGUACCAAGCCCAUGACUGCAAUAGAAUGGCACAACCACCCAUAGCUUUACCAACCUCCAAUGAUGCUCGACAUAGUUCUCUAUACAGGUUUGCUAGACAAGCCGAACCCCAACUAUAUUUUUUUGUGUUGUUCAAAUCACGUAAUAAGUUCAAAUACAUUAAAUGAACUCUAUUUCUAGAUUUAUCAGGAAUUAAAGCACCGCCAAUCAUGUACAUUAUAUAAGCUCUACACUUGCAUUGUAGUUGGUGCGUUGUUGGUUCUUCAGGCAAUGGUGCGCGCAACAUGCUUAGCAACCAUGUCAGCUUCAGUGCAGCUCUUUUACGUGCAUUUUCAGGAGGGACUUCGCCUAGUAACUCGUGGCAUAACUUAUCCCAAUGUAAGAAGCUAGGUCCAACCACAACACGACCAUCGACUCUAAUGUCUAGUUGAAGUGCAACAUCUUCGAGUGUGAUGGUGCACUUUCCCCAUGGCAGGUGAAAGGUAUGUGUUUCAGGCCUCCAUCGUUCAACCAAUGCAGUGAUCAAUGCAGGAUCAAUUUUACACUGUUUGAUUAGUACAAUAUGUUGGAACCCGGUACACGAUAAUAAUGGUAUAAUUUAUGGUUCUGGUUCAAGUAUUGUAUGGUAAUAGGAAGUGAUUAAGUCAUUAAUCGUAGUACGUGAACGAUGAACAUGUUAAUGAUGCAAUAGAGGUUUAUGAUCCAUGAGAAUGAUGUCAAAUGGUAAACCGAAUACAAAUGAUAUAAAAUUUGAAGUUGGGCGAUGCAAAUGUGGUAUUGACAUGCACCUCCCAUUUAUUUAUCGUUUAAACUGUGUUCAGUUUUGCAAGCACAAAUACACUUAAGGUAACUGUAAUGCCUCGAGAUUCCAAAGCACGUUAACACGAAUGUGGUAUUGUGACGCAUCGAGAUUCUAAUUCACGUGAAUCAAUGACAUUUUCAUGCACACUAUUCACCUGUAUGCGUAUGUUAACUGCAUUAACUUGGUUCUCAAUAAUUCGCAUGUCCUCAACAUUACACUUAAUGUAACUAUAAUGUCUCGAGAUUCCAAAGCACAUUUAUAAUUUGUCUCGUUGUAAGGCCUCGAGAUUUCAAAGCACGUUAACACGACUGUGGUACUGUGACGCAUCGAGACUCUAAUGCACGUGAACCAAUGACAUUUUUGUGCACAUUGUUCACCUGCAUGCGUACGUUAACCGCAUUAACUUUGUUCUCAACAAUUCGCAUGGCCUCAACAUUACACUUAAUGUAACUGUAAUGCCUCGAGAUUCCAAAGCACAUUUAUAAUUUGUCUCGUUGUAAGGCCUCGAGAUUCCAAAGCAUGUUAACAUAACUGUGGUACUGUGAUGCAUCGAGAUUCUAAUUCAUGUGAACCAUGGACCCAUGAUUGAUUGCAUAUAUAAACGUACCAUGUCACCCAACACUUUGCACAGUUGCAUCAAAUCAAGUUGUGAGAGAAAACAGAGAGGGCAAGCAUUGAGGUCAGAGCCUAUUUGUGCGUACGUUUAUAUCAAUGGUGAAAUCAUUCAAAGUUCAAGUGCAAAUGCAAUUUUUAGAGGUGACAAGACAAAUUCGUUACUCUUGAAUCCAACAAUGAUGCUGCCAAAUAUAAUCACCACAAUACAGUCAUCAAUUACAGAUAAUGGUGUUACACCUAUAAUUAAUGCCCUUUGGUAUCGUUGUCCGGUAUAUGAAUUCAAUGGUGAAGUUCAAUAUAGGGCAAUUCAAAUUAUUGACGAAGAAGGUGUUUUGUGCAUGUUUCAUACAUUUGUCAAUAUGACAAGUGUAAUAUGUAUGAAACUUAAAGUUGAUGUUUAUAAUUCAUUAUCACCUACUCAAGUCUACGACCUAAGUUGGGCCGACAUGGAGCAGAAGCUAGACAAUUCCCUGAAAUUAGAAUGAAUAAUUUAACAUAUUCUAUUGUUGUAUUGCGUUGAAGUUUUUCUCAGUCUUUAUUAUGUAGUUGUAGUUGUAGUUGUAGUUGUUGCUUGCUUGGAAGUUGUUAUUUUCGAUUUACUUCAGUAAUAAUAGUCUACACAUGCAUGAUUUUAGAGAUGUGGAGAAAUGUCUCACCUAAUCCUCACAUGCACCGACAACCCCAUUAAAGUGUGGUGUUGCACACUGUUCACUCGCAUGCGUACGUUUAUCCCAUUAACAUGUUUUUGAACAAUCCGUGUGACCUUGGCAUGCGAUGCAGAACACUACGGUCAACAAUCAUCAUGAAACGAACAGUCUGUCAAGUAUAUUAAUGUGUUUGGUUGCACACUGUUCACUCACAUGUGAACACUGUUCCGCAAUUGCACACUAUUUACUCACACGCACUGAAUGUCCUACCUAACCCUCCCACCUAAUCCUCGUAACUAACUUUGUUGUCUAACCCUCCCACCUAACUUUCUGAUCUAACUCUCUUACCUAACCUUCCAAUCUAACUCUCCCACCAAACCCUCCCACCUAACCCUAAUAACUAACUUUGCCACCUAAUUCUCCCAUCUAACCCUCGUAACUAACUUUGUCACCUAACUCUCCAACCUAAACUUCCAAUCUAACUCUCCCACCUAACAUUCCAAUCUAACUCUGGUACUAAACUUUCUCAGCUUAUAUAUAGUAUCACCAUUUGACAACAACAUAUCACACACAACAACUUUCUCACAAAACAAAACUCAAUUUGUAACUCUCACACCAUUUCCACUCAUAUCCCAUAAGCACCACCAUGGCUCCUCCUAAAGAAAUUGUGACCAUCAUUUACCAAAAUGGUCACAUUGUAGACAACCUAGUUCAAGGAUCGAUGUACACAUCUGCAAACCCAAUAUUUUUUUACAUCAAUCGUUCUAUUACGUUUACACAAUUCAUUCAAAAAAUUAACAAUCGUCUCCCUGCUCGAGCAACUGAACAAGUUGCUCAAUUGUUAUUUCGUAUCCCUAUUUCAUUUCAUCUCGGUCAGACACAUUUUAUUUCAGCUCAACUAUUCGACAAUGAUGAUCUCAGAGGAGCGAUCGAAACAAUUUUCCAUAAUCCACAAUUGAAUUUUGCCGAAUUCUAUGUUGUUACUGACCUUAUUCAUCAACCACACCCAUUGUCUCCACAACCCUCAAGUCCACAACUACAAGUACCGCCUCCACAACAAUUACCGUACAACAACAUAGACCUCAAUAAUCCAGUAUCUUCAUACAACAACCUUGAAUCAUAAGACCCCUUUGACAUUUAUACUUCAUACACACAACUAUUAUCCGAAAACAAUUCUUUUUUUCAUGGCCAACAAACUUCCUUUGACCAACAAACCAUCAUUCAUCCCCCUUUACGCCACCUUCACAACUACCACAAUCACAAACAUCAAACAGAGAUGAACAUCCCAUUGUUAACGAAGAUCCCAUUAUACGAUUUCAUGAUGAAAACAUGAAUGAUUUUAGUGAGGAUGAGGAUCAACAGUUCUUUGAUCACAUCAAUCACCAAAGCGAUGACCAAAGUGAUGAUCAAACCGAUGACGAGGGUGUUGGCAGACCAACGACACCUUCGUCACCUCCAUUGCAAUAUCACCAACCUAGGUGUCUAGUAGACUUGAACUUUGACCUCCUACCACACUACAUUGAUCGACACCAUUUUGUUCAUCAGUAACACAAUGUACAACCACCAAUUAGUAUACUCGAGGUUGGCAUGACCUUCGAUGACAAAGCACAACGUAUUCGAGCAGUUAAAGAAUACAACAUCAUAAAUCAUUUUGAUUGCAGAACAAUUUACUCUGACCAGAGAAGGCUAAACUUCGUCUGCAAGUUACAUAAAAAUGGUUGUACAUGGAGCUUGGGCGCAUGCAAUUCAAAGAGGCAUAACAAAUGGAUUAUCAAGAAUAUCAGAGGUCAUCACACUUGUCUCGUGUCGAUGCUCAGACAAGAUCAUCGCCAACUCGACAAACACGUCAUAGCACAGAUCAUCCAAUCAAUAGUCAAAACAAACCCAACCAUCUCCAUCAAGACGUUGAUUGCAGAUAUCAAAACGUUCAUGAAUUAUACCACAUCCUACAAGAAGACAUGGUUAGCAAAGCAAAGAGCGUUGGAGAUGAUUCAUGGAAACUGGGAAGAAUCAUACGCCAAACUACCAAAAAUUUUCAGAGCUUUGCAAUCUUGUGUUCCCGAGACUGUGGUCGCUGCUCAAACAUAAUCCUUGUAUGAGGGGAGAGAAAUAGUACUAGGCAAAAGAUUGUUUAAACGUGUCUUUUGGUCAUUUGGCCCAUGCAUUAAUGGUUUUGCAUAUUGCAAACCCAUAGUACAAGUAGAUGGCACAUGGCUUUACAGGAAGUAUACUGGCACACUGUUGAUAGCUACCGCACAAGAUAGAGCUAACCAUAUCUUCCCGAUUGCCUACGCCAUUGUAGAAGGGGAGACAACUUCAGCUUGGGGUUUUUUUCUAAAAAAUUUGAGAAGACAUGUUACUCCGCAAAUUAACAUUUCUCUUAUUUCAGACCGACACCCCUCAAUUAUAAGUGUCUACAACAACCCAAGUAACUUAUGGGUCCAGGACACAUCCCAUUUCUUUUGCCUGCGCCACAUUACACAAAACUUUCUUCGCGGUAACUCAAACUGCAGACAU